AGCGCCAGCGAUAUCACGUUGAAUGCACCAGUUCUCGAUAGAUAACUGAAGUUAAGCAACGUUAAGUUCUGUUGAAAUCGGGAUAGGUUGCCGUGUGGGCAAUCGUUUGCUGCUGGCUGUU
rnacentral:rRNA from 1 species